rnacentral:tRNA from 1 species
AGAGAGUUAGUCUAAACAAGACAGUUGAUUUCGACCCAACAGAUCAUAACCUAACACUAUGACUCUCUC